CGAGCGCAACCCCUAUCCUUUGUUGCCAGCGGUGAUGCCGGGAACUCAAGGGAGACUGCCGGUGAUAAACCGGAGGAAGGUGGGGCGUCAAGUCAUCAUGGCCCUUACGACCAGGGCUACACACGUGCUACAAUGGUCGGUACAAAGGGUUGCUACCUAGCGAUAGGAUGCUAAUCUCAAAAAGCCGAUCGUAGUCCGGAUUGGAGUCUGCAACUCGACUCCAUGAAGUCGGAAUCGCUAGUAAUCGCGGAUCAGAAUGCCGCGGUGAGUACGUUCCCGGGCCUUGUACACACCGCCCGUCACACCAUGGGAAUUUGUUGCACCAGAAGUAGGUAGUCUAACCGCAAGGAGGACGCUUACCACGGUGUGGCC
rnacentral:rRNA from 1 species